CAGGCAUUAUUCCAGCCCUUUCCAUCAGAAAUAAUAUUUCAGAACUACACUCCCUGUGAAGUCUAUGAAGUUCCAUUGAUUUUGAGGAACAAUGACAAAUUGAGAAAACUGAAGUUCAGACCUGACCAAGGUCACACAUCUAGUAAGUAGUUGAUGGAGAUUUCAGUCUGUGUUUAACUCUGCUUUUUCACAUGCACAGUGUUCAUCAUCGUGUGUUUCCCCGCAGAUUCCAAGGUUGGUGAAAGUUGUGGAAGAAAGUUCGCCUUACUUUAAAGUCAUCAGCCCCAAAGAUAUUGGCCACAAAGUGGCUCCUGGAGUGCCUUCCGUAUUCCGAAUCCUCUUUACUCCAGAGGAGAACAAGGAUUACGCCCAUACGUUGACCUGUGUUACUGAAAGAGAAAAGUUUAUUGUACCCAUCAAAGCUAGAGGGGCGCGAGCCAUUCUCGAUUUUCCUGACAAGCUGAAUUUUUCCACUUGUCCUGUCAAAUACAGCACCCAGAAGAUUCUGCUGGUACGAAACAUUGGCAACAAAAAUGCUGUAUUUCACAUCAAAACUUGUAGGCCUUUCUCUGUAGAACCAGCUGUUGGAACUCUUAAUGUGGGAGAGUCCAUGCAACUGGAAGUGGAGUUUGCGCCACAGAGUGUGGGCGAUCACAGUGGAAGACUUAUCGUGUGUUAUGACACAGGUGA
rnacentral:sRNA from 1 species